rnacentral:piRNA from 1 species
UGAGUCUUCACUGUUGCCAAGUGAUCU